UGUUUGUCGGUGGUCCUCCUCUGUUGAACUGAUCUAAAUGGUAUCUAGUUCUGUGAUGAGGUCCUAGAUAACCACUUCUGGUUGGAUAACCUGAGUAUUUUCCUAAAGGCCGAUGGGGAAAAGAAGCUUCUUUUGUAGCACAAUGUGUUAGCACUUUAGUGUCAUGAGCUCUCCCGGGAACUCCGACAUAAGCAUAAGUAAACUUCAUACUAAAAUUGCAGAUAGCAAGUAUAUUAAUUGUUGGUUCUAUUUUUCGACCUCUAAAUGGCUCAACAUUCCCUGAUGGAGGACGAAUUGACACAUGUGUACCAUUAAGGGCACCAAUGCAGUCCCUAAAGUAAGGCAUAUACCGACUAUCAUUAGCUAUACUAGAACUAAUACUAGUCAAAUCACCCGUUGUAGAUUUCACUAUAUCUGCAGCAAGUUUUCAAAGAGCACUCAAAACCUCAUCCAACUUCCUAUUCACUGUAUCAAGUGAAUGUUGAUACCGCUCAGCUAUGACCCGAACAGUUAGAUCUUGUGCAACCAUCUCUAAGAACAUUGCAACAUUCUCUUCAAAAUAAAUAUGGAAAGAUUCCUUUAACGUAUACUGUUAUGAUAAACUCCU
rnacentral:lncRNA from 1 species